rnacentral:rRNA from 1 species
GAUCCUGGCUCAGGAUGAACGCUAGCGGCAGGCCUAACACAUGCAAGUCGAGGGGCGAUCACGAGGUAGCAAUACUUUGGUGGCGACCGGCGCACGGGUGCGUAACGCGUAUGUAACCUACCUAUAACAGGGGCGAUAACACUGAGAAAUUGGUACUAAAUUCCCCAUAAUAUUCGGAGAGGCAUCUCUCCGGGUUGAAAACUCCGGUGGUUAUAGAUGGACAUGCGUUGUAUUAGCUAGUUGGUGAGG